AUGAUGUCAUGUGCUGUGAGACACAAGACUUGCUUGAGCUUGAGUCUGAUCCAGGCCAUGGAGGAAAACUAUGAGGUGGACCUGGUCUACAUCACAGAGCGCAUCAUUUCUGUGAGCUUCCCCAGUAAUGUAGAAGAGCCAAGCUACAGCGCUAACAUAAAGGAGGUCGCCACCAUGCUACGCUCCAAACAUGGUGACAACUACUUGCUCUUCAACCUCAGUGAAAAGCGAUUUGAUAUCUCCAAGCUGAAUCCCAAAGUGCUGGAUUUUGGCUGGCCGGACCAUCACGCUCCAGCCCUGGAUAAGAUCUGCAGCAUCUGCAAAGCCAUGGACACUUGGAUGAACGCUGACAGUCACAAUGUGGUGGUCUUACACAAUAAGGGAAACCGAGGUCGAACGGGGGUAGUUGUGGCUGCAUACAUGCAUUACAGCAACAUAUCAGCGAGUGCAGACCAGGCUCUGGACAGGUUUGCCAUGAAGCGGUUUUAUGAAGAUAAAGUGCUUCCUGUGGGUCAGCCCUCUUCCUGUGGGUAUGUGCAGUACUUCAGUGGUCUGCUCUCCGGCCAUAUCAAGAUCAACAACAAGCCCCUGUUCCUGCACCACGUCAUCAUGCACGGGAUCCCAAACUUCGAGUCCAAAGGAGGUUGCCGCCCUUUCCUCAAGAUCUACCAGGCUAUGCAAUUUCCUGAAUAUGGAAAAGUGGAAUUUGUCUUUUCUUUCGGCCCAGAAAAAAUCCAAGGAAUGGACCACCUUGAGAACGGGCCCAGUGUUUCUGUGGACUACAAUACCCAAGAUCCUCUGAUUCGCUGGGAUUCUUACGAGAACUUCAACCAGCACUGUGAAGAUUCAGAGGAGGACGUUAUUCACACACAAGGUCCAUUGGAUGGUAGUCUCUACGCUAAGGUUCGGAAGAAAGAGUCUCUUGAGGGAGGGGUCACAACCAAUGGUCUCCCAGCCAGUGUCGAUCACACUUUACCUGCUGUAGACCACACUCUACCACCAGUCGACCACGCCCUGUCUGUAAGCAGUGACUCGGGCAACUCCACUGCUUCCAUCAAAACCGACCGCACGGAUGAAGCCAGCCAUCAGCCGCCCCUCAGCCCAGAGGAAAAACAGGAGCUGGACCAGUUGCUCAGUGGCUUGGAAGCACCAAUGCAACGCACAGGUUACCAAAGCAGCCCUGGCAGCGGAGGCGGUGGAGUCCUACACCUCGUCCCCGCCCAGGUUCAUGUCAAUGGACACAACAACAUAGACCGUGAGACAGAUAUCCUUGAUGAUGACCUGCCCAACAGUCAGGAAGGGAACAGUGCGGACAGUCUCGGGACCAUCUCGUCUUUUGAGGGCAGAGCCACUCCAGCAGAUCUGUACUACCAGCCAGAGACGGUCAUUAAUGGAAAAGAUGCACAAGAUGACUUAGAGAAGGGUGUCCACAAGAAAAUACCAGAGCCCAAAGUCCAAAGCUCCUCAUCUGUUCAAGAGCUCUUAGGGUCCUCUAGUGGCUUUGCCAACCAGAAUGGCAACAUCUGCCGAUCUCAAUCAUUAGGGGCAGCCCCGACCACAGAGCAGAAGUACAUGCCCAAAGCUCCCACACGCACGAUUAGCAGUAGGGAUGCAGUGCAAAGGGGACUGAAUGUGUGGCAACAAUAUGGUGUUCCUGAGGUCCCAGUCACAGAUGGGGUCACCUUCAACCCUGUACUACAGUCCCACAGUCUUCCAGAGUUUCCUCACAUGGCAUCUCAGCAAGAAAUUGAGCAGUCCAUUGAAGCACUUAACAUGCUGAUGCUGGACCUUGACCCAGCACUUACACAAGUCCCCAAGUCCCAUAGUGCCCCAUCUGGAGAUGGUGGAGUGGUCACCACUCAACCAUCAAACCCAUUAUCACAAACCCAAGCACGGCCGUCCUACCAAUCUGACACAGCCAUUCAUGGCCGUGGUGGAGUCUCUUGGGGGGGAUACCCUUCGACCUUUCAACAGGUAGCCGCAGAUUCCACGUCCCAGUCCCCUGAGCCCCAGGAGAGUCAGCGUAGCUAUUCUGCCUCCUCAUCCCCUCUACCUAAAGAGUCUGAACCGGAAGAUGCCAACUACAAACUGGGUGGUCUUGUAGCUCACCGUGUAGCUGGAGUUCAGUCUGGUGAAAUGUCACCAGAUGAGACUUCAGUUCCUGGACGGUGCCGGACCAUCAGUGAGGACCUUUCCCAAGAUGAAAGCCCAACCCGAGGAAGCUCAGUCCGCUCCCCCAUCCGCUGCAUUUCACCCGAGUUGGCCAAUACGAUUGCUUUGAACCCUGGGGGGCGGCCCAAGGAGAGACACAUGCAUAGCUACAGAGAAGCGUUUGAGGAAAUGGAUGGGGGUCCCGUCAGCCCCCCUCCGAUCGCUAGUGGUCGAUCUCCACCAGGACUGGCCAAAACACCACUGUCCUUCCUGGGCUUGAAACCCCACAACCCUGCUGAGAUACUGCUCAACCAGACAGGUUCAGGUGAGCCUCGUAGCUAUGUGGAGUCUGUGGCCAAAGCAGCUGCAGGUGGGCUGCCAGCGUCGCCUGUGUCUCCAACAUAUGACAGCAACAGCUUUGCACGUCCUGUCGGGCCGUCCCAUGCCUACAACGCUCCUCUUUCCUCCAGCAGCCCUAUUCAGAGCCCAGAUGCAGUUGAAAGCACAUUGACUGACAGCGGGGUUGGGUUGAAUUCUUUGUCCCAGGCUGCUGUCGACUCUAUCCUUCACUCCCAGCCCUCCGAAAGCACAUACCAAACACCUACACCCUCUUACCCCACCUCUAGCAGCAUGUUGGGUGGCUACAUCACUCCUGAUAUCAGCCCCUCUCUGCCAGAGACCAUGCAAAAUAACGCCACCACCAUCCAGCCACUCGCCGGAAGCCCUGGCACAAGACACCAAGCCGUCCUGCCCGACAUGAUGUCCGCUCCCGGUCUCCAGCACAGAAUACCUAAUCAGGAUGUCCCCAUUCUGGCCCAACAACCAACCCCGGCCAAUGGUCAUCUGCCUGGAAUGGCCGGUAGUCCCAUGCAAGGAAGACAUGCAAUGGUGUCUCAAGGAACGCAGAGCAGUCCGAUGCUGUCCAGACAGUAUCCUGUCACCUAUGGGACUCAGAGUAGUCCGAUUCUCAGCAGACAACCUAUGGGACAAGCCGUCCAGAGCAGCCCCGUCCUCAACCAACAGGUGUCCCUAAAUCAACCAAUCAUUCUGCCUAACCAAAGCAGCCCGGUGUUGAGUAGACAGCCAUCCGUUAGCCAACCCAACCAGGGCAGCCCCGUCCUGAGCAGGCAAUCCCCACUUACACAUCCCAGUCAGGGCAGCCCCGUUCUGGGAUGCCAUCCGUCCCUAAUGCAGGGUAGCCCCAGUCUGGACAGGCACCCAAUGUACAGUGGUUACACUACUCCAGAAGAGCGACACGGAGCCCUUUCGCGCCAGAGCAGCUCCUCUGGAUACCAGCCACCAUCUACACCUUCUUUCCCAGUCUCUCCGGCUGGAUACAUAGAUGGAGUGGGAUUCAGACAGGGCAGUCCUGCCCCCCAACCUCAGCUCCCCGAAAAGAGACGUAUGUCCAGCAGCGAUCGCUCUACUGGUGGACUGUCCUACGGAACGCUCAACGGGAAGAUGUCCUCGCCAGUGUCCAGUGGUGGCAGCACUCCAAGCGCUCAUUUCUUCCACACGCUCCCUGAUUUCUCCAAACUCAACAUGUGCGAAGGAAGUCCAGAGACCAGUCUGCACGUGAAGUUUGUCCAGGACACGUCCAAAUUCUGGUAUAAACCAGAUAUCUCCAGAGACCAAGCCAUCAACAUGCUGAAAGAUCAAGAGCCUGGAGCCUUUGUCAUUCGGGACAGUCAUUCAUUCAGAGGGGCCUACGGCUUGGCCAUGAAAGUUGCCUCACCACCUCCGACUGUGCAACCUACAAAGAAAGCUGGAGAUGUCACUAAUGAGCUGGUGAGACAUUUCCUGAUUGAGACGAGUCCGAAAGGCGUGAGACUGAAGGGCUGCCCUAACGAGCUGUACUUUGGCUGCCUGUCUGCACUGGUCUACCAGCACUCAAUCACUCCACUGGCUCUACCCUGCAAACUAGUCAUACCAACCAGAGAUCCUCUAGAGGACUCUCCUGUGAUCGCAACACCAACUAACCCAGCGGCAGAGAUGCUCAAACAGGGUGCAGCAUGCAAUGUCCUGUACAUAAACUCGGUGGAUAUGGAGUCUCUGACUGGGCCUCAGGCCAUCGCCAAGGCCAUCUCAGAAACCAUGGUAGCCAGUCCCGCACCUUCAGCCACUAUUGUUCACUUUAAGGUGUCGGCACAAGGCAUCACUCUCACUGACAACCAGAGAAAGCUUUUCUUCAGACGUCAUUAUCCCAUCAGUACGGUCACGUUCUCAUUAACUUUAACCACAUAUUUUUUUCUUCUUCACAGGUUCUUUGGUUUUGUGGCCAGAAAGCAAGGCAGCACGACAGACAACGUCAGUCACCUGUUCGCCGAGAUGGAUCCCAAUCAACCGGCCACGGCCAUCGUCAGCUUUGUCUCUAAAGUGAUGACCAACUCUCAGAAGCAGUGA
rnacentral:lncRNA from 1 species